AUGAGCAAAAUAACAGCCCUGUUCUUCAUGUCUCUCUUCCUCUGCUGCAUGCUCACCCACUCUGCAAGACCUGAACCAUCUUUUCAAAGGGAAUCUUUGGUAGUAACACAGCAUGAGGAUGUUGAUGCAGUUGAUACAAUCUGUGAAGGGAUUGAAGAGGAGGAAUGCUUGAUGAGGAGGACACUAAUUGCUCACACAGAUUAUAUUUAUACACAGAAGAAUAACCCUUGA